UUUUUUUUCCUUUAUAAUCUCUCUUCUCAUUUAUCUUUUCAAAUGGCUAGGGUUUCUUCUCUCUGGAUCUUCAGUGCGAUUCAACAAAAACUCAGUGUUUUCUUUGUAGAUCCAACAUAAAUUUCUUCCUCUCUCUACCUCAAACGUCUGACAAGGUAUCUUUAUUAGGCAUCUUCAUCAUCAACACCGUUUCUACACAGGGUUUAGAUUCAACGAUUUCUAUAUUCUCUCCAUUCAACGAUCUCUUCUUCAUCAAUCCUCUCUGGAUACUCAACAAUUAAGAUCCAGAUGCGUCUUUGCUCGAAUCUUGGUGUGACCAAUCAGAUGGUUAAAGCUUCCCAAGAAUCCGUUCAAAAUACUAAAGAGUUUGAUAUAUGGUCUGGGUUAUUAGCAUGAAACAGUGGAGAUUUGAGGAAGUUUGGGGGUUUGAGAAGCUAGGGUUUAUGGUUUUGGUUGGAAUGUUGUGUUUGGGUGUGCUUCUUUUUUUGGGUAAAUUGCUCAUCGAUUUGGGUUUUUUGUUGAGUUAAGUUUUGAUAUUAUUGAUUAAUUCGUUGUGUUUUUUGUUUAUUGUUGAUCUGUUAGUUCGUUCCUGAGUGGACAAUAUUGUAAGCUUGUGGAAUAGGGAUAUUUUACAGGCGUUUUGAUAUAAUGAUAUACAUGGAAGGAUGUGGGUACAAAGAUGAACUGUAUCAAAUUCAUAUGAAAUUUUUAAAAGUGAAAGUUCUUUACUUUGAGUUUAAUGAUUAUGGCAAUAAGUACUUUUUUAGCUAAAAAAGAUGGACAAAAAACUGUAUGUUACUUUGCUGUAUAUCGUUUGUGUAUAUUAACAUCAUUGGUGGCUGGUGUUUACCAUAGGUACAUCCAUGGCACCUGUGCAACCUCUGGAGAGGGACUUUACGAGGGUCUCGAUUGGCUUUCCAAUAACAUCGCUAACAAGGCACAUAAAUAACUAGCAAAUUUUUUUUGUGUUUUUUUUAUAUUUUUAUUCAUUAUUUAUUAUUUUAUAUUUUAUUGGUGGUUUUGUGGCAUCCGGGACUGAUCUAGCAAAGGUGCCCUGAUCUAGCAAAGGCGGAUUUGUAUUUUUAGAAUUUUAAGGUGCCUGGCUCAGGUGAUUCCAGUUGAUGGUAGCGAUUGUUGGUGACGGAGACGAACUUCGGCUGCCAGACCACAACCACAUGGGUUUCAGAUGGUGAGAAAGGUUGGAUUAUCUGUUGAAUGAACACUGCCAUCAUCCAGGACUGAGCUAUGCAGAUUCAGUGGCCAGAAGAUUUAUCCUGGUAGGGGUAUUAGAUUCAUCAGAUCUGAUUCACAGCAGUGCCGCUGCAGUGGCAGAGAUGGCAAAGAUACUAGCGUUAAUAGGGGGUGUUGAGUAUUCCACGUCUAAUGGGAUUGAGCUUGAUUCACUCUCUCUCAACAUUGACUGAAAUUUUAUCAGUUCAGCAGGGGGAUGCAGAAGUUAUUGUUCUUAGUGAAUUGGAUUGCUAACUUCUGUACACGAGGAAAACUAUGACCACAAGAACAUGAUUGAUUACAUGCAACUAACGAAGAUUUCAAAUAAAAAGAAGGGGGAGAUGCUCUUUACCAAUGGUAUACCAAAGUACCAAACUCUUGAAGCAUCAGAUCUCUUCUUGUCUCUUGGUCAACAUGUUGAUGUAUACUUUCCAACUCGCAAGAGGUCCCGAAAUCACCGCACGAUAUGUGUUUUAAACAAAAAGAAAAACCAUUACAGAGGAGAUGACGGGCUAGAAAUAAACGACUAGGGGAGCGAACAAGGUCACUCAUGGAUGUGGUACAAAAAGCGUUGAUGGGCUUGCAUUACUACAAGGAUUAUAUUGAUGGGGUUAGACUACUGGGCUUGCAUAUGCUGGAUUCAUGCAUCAAAAACUACAUUCAAGGUUGCACUUUGUCGCUCAGGCGUCAAAUUGGUGAUCUCUUUGUUUCGGGUGAAUUCGAUUCAAGGUUGCACUUUGUACUAUGAUGUGUGCAAAAUGCAACAUAUAAAUUACAUCAAAUGAGGCAUAAAACUAACCCUUUUUAUGUACUAA